GAUGAACGCUGGCGGCGUGCCUAAUACAUGCAAGUCGAGCGAACAGAUAAGGAGCUUGCUCCUUUGACGUUAGCGGCGGACGGGUGAGUAACACGUGGGUAACCUACCUAUAAGACUGGAAUGACUCCGGGAAACCGGGGCUAAUGCCGGAUAACAUUUAGAACCGCAUGGUUCUAAAGUGAAAGAUGGUUUUGCUAUCACUUAUAGAUGGACCCGCGCCGUAUUAGCUAGUUGGUAAGGUAACGGCUUACCAAGGCAACGAUACGUAGCCGACCUGAGAGGGUGAUCGGCCACACUGGAACUGAGACACGGUCCAGACUCCUACGGGAGGCAGCAGUAGGGAAUCUUCCGCAAUGGGCGAAAGCCUGACGGAGCAACGCCGCGUGAGUGAUGAAGGUCUUCGGAUCGUAAAACUCUGUUAUUAGGGAAGAACAAAUGUGUAAGUAACUGUGCACGUCUUGACGGUACCUAAUCAGAAAGCCACGGCUAACUACGUG
rnacentral:rRNA from 1 species